UGAGCAGGUGGAUUUAGAGAGUCAGACGUAGUGGUUCUUCACAUCUCACCGACCCAGAUGGUCGUCUUUGUAACGUCACUUGGAAACAUUAAUCCAAGCAUUAACGUUUUCUGCACGACUCCUCCCACUUUCUCGAAUUAAAUCGACCAUAGCAUCCUCUGAAGUAAUGCCCUGAAGCUUCGCAUAUAAAUGGCUUUGUUGCUUGGGAUGAACAGUCCUAUCAAAACAAAAUCCCAAAGGUCUACCUCUGUCAAGCAUCAAAUCCAUCAAUGGUGAAUUCAUCUAUUAUUCUUGCUGAUUUAAAAGCUGGAAGCUGUUCAAACACCGUCAAGGUCCGUCUCAUCAGAUUCGGAGAGGCAAGAAUUGUUAAGAACGGUGGUCACCUCAGGGGUGUCCACAUGCUUCUCCUUAACGAGAAGGUGGGAUGUAUGGUAUUGAUGUCGCUGGAAGCACGUUUCACUACGAAGGUUUAUCGAGGUCACGGAAAAAGUGACCAUCCCAGCAGAGAAGUUUCGUUUUCAAAAGUAUAAUCAACUCAUGGCUUUGGCUAACACCAACUUCGAUUUGGCUGACAUCAUGGGCGAAGUUAGUUGUAUCAACACUGUUUUCGAUAAUGAAAACCAUUUCAUUCAUCAUAACAAUCCAAUUAGACAGGAAAGACGCAUCUCUUUCUCUCUGCAAAUAAAAACUGGUUACAUAUAAUGGAAAUAUUUCAGAACAAACUCAGGAUGACUUCAAUGCUUGGUUAGAUAUCUCCACUCUAAAUCAAAUAAGAAAAAUUGCAACUCUGGAGAUGCAAAUGAAUGUAAAUCGAUGGAAGCUAUAAUCAGAAAAUAGAAACUUGAUUUUGGGAAGUUUUCUCUUUGAAAAUAUAUGCGAGGUAUAUUAUACUCUCUAUUUUGUGAAGCCUGCUCUAGGGCUUAGCUUAUUAUACGUUUUGUGUUCUGAAAGUAUUAUAUAAUUUUGGGGUUCCCGGAUCUUUUCUGCUUGUAAUUCAUGCCAUCAUGGAGAAGAGAAAAGCAUACUCAUCUGGUUAUUGAUCUUGCGCUGACUAAUAGAUUUCUGGUUGAAGGUGUAAUCAAAGUUUUCAGGAUGCCAUGAUGUAUAUCGAUCCAUAGGUACCUGCACGGCCUGCACUGCAGUUUUUUGGAGUCAAUGGUUCGUGAGCCUCCAGUUUAUGAGGUUCCAGAGUGUCCCCCGGUGACAAGGAGGUAUUCGAUAUAAGAAGCUCAAUCGGGCGAUUUCAUUGAGUUUUUUUUUCCCUUGAAAAAACAUAUUAUAUAGUUGGAUGUGUAACUGAUGAUUUUUGCAAUUGUUUCUAGACGAGAUCAUGAUGAGGCAUUUUGAGAUAAUGCAAUUGUAAAUAGUUUUUAAUCAA